rnacentral:rRNA from 1 species
GAUGAACGCUAGCGGCAGGCUUAAUACAUGCAAGUCGAGGGGCAGCACGGGUAGCAAUACCUGGUGGCGACCGGCAAACGGGUGCGGAACACGUACGCAACCUUCCCAUAACUGGUGAAUAGCCCUCCGAAAGGAGGAUUAAUACACCGUAACUUAACGAAGUGGCAUCACUUUGUAAUAUAGGCUUCGGCCGGUUUUGGAUGGGCGUGCGCCUGAUUAGGUAGUUGGCGGGGUAACGGCCCACCAAGCCUGCGAUCAGUAACUGGUGUGAGAGCACGACCAGUCACACGGGCACUGAGACACGGGCCCGACUCCUACGGGAGGCAGCAGUUAAGGAAUAUUGGUCCAAUGGA